UACAGAGGGUGCGAGCGUUAAUCGGAAUUACUGGGCGUAAAGCGUGCGUAGACGGUUACGUAAGUCAGAUGUGAAAGCCCCGGGCUCAACCUGGGAAUUGCAUUUGAGACUGCGUAGCUAGGGUGCGGAAGAGGGAAGCGGAAUUUCCGGUGUAGCGGUGAAAUGCGUAGAUAUCGGAAGGAACACCAGUGGCGAAGGCGACUUCCUGGCCUGUUCUUGACGCUGAGGCGCGAAAGCUAGGGGAGCAAACGGG
rnacentral:rRNA from 1 species